UUUGUUUCUUCUCCGCCCAGAAACCAAACCACAGAAACGAUUUCCUCUUCUUCGUUUCCUAUCGAAUCUAUGUUUUUCAUUUUAAAUUUUCCAUGUAAUUCAUCCCUUCCUCAAACAACGAAGCGAAACAUCGAACUAGGGAUUCUAAUUUUUCUUUUCUCCAAUUGAGGAUUUUUGGGUCAUCCAUGAAAAUGGUGGAAUCAGAUGAAGAAGAUAACUCCAACAAACUUGGGCGAAAUCUCUCAAAUUUUGGACUAACCGGGCACAAAUAGACUAAAUUCUCAUCUCAAAGAACCCAUAAUGGGCCUCACAUGUGGUUGAAGGAAGUUAAAUAUUACAACAGAAUGAGGUGAUCUUCGCUGAAAACAAUGGUGUUUAUGAACGUGCAAACCAACAGGUUGCCAGAUUAUCUUGCAGGUUGCCAGAUUAUCUUGCAAGUCCCACCCUGCCCAAAUGUUAAGUUGAAAGAGAAAUUAGUUUGAAGAAUUUACUGGAUGGACUGCAAAAAGGAAACCUCAAUUGAAGGAUGCUGAUGGGACAAAAAAAAUCUUGACCCCUGAAGUAAAUUUAAGCGAUGGAGAAUAUUCGUCAAAGCCUUAGAAUCAUCAAGCAAUGUUGACUUCGACAGUGGAUUGAUACCAAAACAGAUGGCAGUCAACACCUGUGUCGUCACCCAAUGACUUUGACAGUUGAUUCAUACCACAGCGGAUGACAAUCAACAAUCCAAUCUCUGUUGAAGCCGAAGAAUGAUUUAUGUAAACUUUAAGUUCGAUUCUUAGGUCUUAAUGUUUAUCAGUGUGGAACAAGUAAAUGAGAUUAUAUUUUUUUCCAGAACUGCUUAUAUGUGUCGCCUGUGCCUGCAUUUAUGUUUUACAAAUUAUUUAACAGAAUUGUUAGCAAUGCGCAAUCUUAGGUUCCUGCA